GACGAACGCUGGCGGCGUGCUUAACACAUGCAAGUCGAACGGAAAGGCCCGGCUUUUGUGGGGUGGUCGGGUGGCGAACGGGUGAGUAACACGUGAGUAACCUGCCCUUCACUUUGGGAUAAGUUCAGGAAACUGGGGCUAAUACCGGAUAGGAGCUCCUGCUGCUUGGUGGGGGUGGGUAAGUUUCGGCGGUUGGUGAUGGACUCGCUGCUUAUCAGGUUGAUCGGGGGGUAGUGGCUGAGCAAGGCUUGGACGGGUAGGCGGGCUGAGCGGGUGACCGGCCACGUUGCGACUGAGCUACGGCCCAGACUCGUACGGGAGGCAGCAGUGGAGAGUAUUGCACAAUGGGCGGAGCCCUGGUGCAGCGCCGCCGCGUGGGGGGUGACGGCCUUCGGGUUGUAAAGCGAUUUCGUCUGUGACGGAGCGUGAGUGACGGUAAUCGGUAAAGAAGCCCCGGCUAACUUCGUG
rnacentral:rRNA from 1 species